UGGUGUUAGCAAGGUUCUCUCAAGAGCACCCU
rnacentral:piRNA from 1 species